rnacentral:lncRNA from 1 species
AAAUGAAUAAAUUAACAUAAUAGACUAAUAAUAUAACUCAACAAACUCAAUUAUAACAUACAAUUUUGUAUUUUCAGUUAUAAAAAAGAUUCUCAACCGAAAAAUACCCUAAAAAUAUAGCGAUCUUCAGAGAAAUUAUAUAAUACAUAUGAAUACAUAAAUUAUAUUAAUUCAUGACAUGUAGCGAGAUAGUGAAUACAAUGAAAUACAUAGAAUACAGUGGCAUACAUUGAAAUACAACGAGAUACAUUGAAAUAUAUUAACAGAAAUUCAAGUUGCUCAGCCCCAAACUCCGUCGUCUUUGUUCAAGAUGUCAUCUCGUCGAGCUGGAGGAUAAGUAGAACCAAAUCAAGAACCCCAAAAAAGGUUCCUUCUCCCUAGAUUUCCUCUUUUCCUCUCAAUUUCUACUCCAAAAUGGAGAAAAUCGCUAUUUCUACUCAUUUAUGCCCUAGCUUAAGCCUUUCAAUUCUAUUUCAAGUUCAGAUGCAGGGUUUUCCUUGUCUUGCCUCACUUAUGUAUUGCCCAAUCAACGCAGAAAGAUAUUGACUUGAACAACUUCAGUUGAACAACUUCUAAAGGUUUGCAUAGCUUCAGUUGCAGUUUAGUUCUAAAAUUAAACGGAUGAUAUUUUCUUGAGUUGGGACGGGACUGCUUAACACUGGUUCUGAUUGAAUACUGAGGAGUAUUCAUGGAUUCGGCUACUAAAACCGAUCGAGAGUUUAUAGGCUUUGUGCAUAUGGUUGAAAUGCUUAAGGUGGAAGAUGAGAGAGGAGGAGAAUAAAUAUGGGACAAGGGAUACGAUAAAUUUAAUAGAAGAGACAAAAUAAUACAAAGUUUAUUUUAUGGCUUAUGGGUAAGUGAUAACCAUAAAUAGAUAUUUGGCUAUAAAAAAUAAAAAGUUAGCUAUGGAAUAUAAUUUUUAAAAAAGUAUUUACUUAAAAUAAAUAAAAUAUCAACCUCUACUAUAUAAAGUAAAAAUUUCAACAAAAUUUGCAGCAUCCCCUGAACGAGAGUUCGAU